rnacentral:rRNA from 1 species
GAUAUGCUCAGGAUGAACGCUAGCUACAGGCUUAACACAUGCAAGUCGAGGGGAAACGAUAUUGGAAGCUUGCUUCCGAUAGGCGUCGACCGGCGCACGGGUGAGUAACGCGUAUCCAACCUGCCCACCACUUGGGGGAUAACCUUGCGAAAGUAAGACUAAUACCCAAUGAUAUCUCUAGAAGACAUCUGAAAGAGAUUUAAAGAUUUAUCGGUGAUGGAUGGGGAUGCGUCUGAUUAG